GCACCACAAGAGCGUGGAGUAUGUGGCUUAAUUCGACUCAACGCGCAACAAUUUACUUGGUCCGAACGCUUUGAGGAUUGACAGUUAUUGUAUAGUUCUGAUAUGGGUGGUAUUUGUAGUCAACGUGUAGGUAGUUGUAUAUUAAAUAUGAAAGUUCUUUUAUGAUUAUGUGAUAGGUGGUGCAUGGCCGUCCUUAAUUCGUGGAGUGAUUUGUCUGCUUAAUUGCGCAUUGCAAAUUGUAAUUGAUCUUUUACCAGUCUCGUUCUGGUUUAUGUUGGAAUAUUGUAGAAUAUUGUUGUUCUCGAGUCAUUAUUGCCACUAUGUCUGGUCCAUUGGGCAGAAUAGUGUUGUAUAUUUUGUCUUGUGAACACAAAAUUCUUCACAAUAUUGUAGCCGUACUUCAUUGUAUGCGCACUAUUCAUGUAUAUGUGACACAUUUGUGGUUCAAGACCAGUUCGGCUGCUUGCACACAUAUACACUCGACAUGACCAGUCAGGCUGCUAGAGACCUUGUGUCUUGCCCCAAAGGUUGAUUAACACCGUGAGUGCAACGAGUGAGAUUGCAAGCCUUUGUUAUGUAGUGAACAACAUAUACCUACUAUGAUUACUACUUUGUAGUAACUAGGUUUCCAACUACACAAAAUAACCAUUAAGGUGAAAUGAACUCAGGCGACUGCUAUACUUUAAGAUGGUGGAAGGUUG
rnacentral:rRNA from 1 species